UCCUACGGGAGGCAGCAGUGGGGAAUAUUGGACAAUGGGCGAAAGCCUGAUCCAGCCAUGCCGCGUGUGUGAAGAAGGUCUUCGGAUUGUAAAGCACUUUAAGUUGGGAGGAAGGGCAGUAAGUUAAUACCUUGCUGUUUGACGUACCGACAGAA
rnacentral:rRNA from 1 species